UGGGGAAUAUUGCACAAUGGGCGGAAGCCUGAUGCAGCGACGCCGCGUGGGGGAUGAAGGCCUUCGGGUUGUAAACUCCUUUCGACAGGGACGAAGCUUUUGUGACGGUACCUGUAUAAGAAGCACCGGCUAACUACGUGCCAGCAGCCGCGGUAAUACGUAGGGUGCGAGCGUUGUCCGGAAUUACUGGGCGUAAAGAGCUCGUAGGUGGUUUGUCGCGUCGUCUGUGAAAUUCCGGGGCUUAACUCCGGGCGUGCAGGCGAUACGGGCUGACUUGAGUGCUGUAGGGGAGACGGGAAUUCCUGGUGUAGCGGUGAAAUGCGCAGAUAUCAGGAGGAACACCGAUGGCGAAGGCAGGUCUCUGGGCAGUAACUGACGCUGAGGAGCGAAAGCAUGGGUAGCGAACAGG
rnacentral:rRNA from 1 species